rnacentral:tRNA from 1 species
UCCUCGUUAGUAUAGUGGUGAGUAUCCCCGCCUGUCACGCGGGAGACCGGGGGUUCGAUUUCCCGACGGGGAG